rnacentral:rRNA from 1 species
GACGAACGCUGGCGGCGUGCUUAACACAUGCAAGUCGAACGGGCGUAGCAAUACGUCAGUGGCAGACGGGUGAGUAACGCGUGGGAACGUACCUUUUGGUUCGGAACAACCCAGGGAAACUUGGGCUAAUACCGGAUAAGCCCUUACGGGGAAAGAUUUAUCGCCGAAAGAUCGGCCCGCGUCUGAUUAGCUAGUUGGUGUGGUAACGGCGCACCAAGGCGACGAUCAGUAGCUGGUCUGAGAGGAUGAUCAGCCUCACUGGGACUGAGACACGGCCCAGACUCCUACGGGAGGCAGCAGUGGGGAAUAUUGGACAAUGGGCGGCAAGCCUGAUCCAGCCAUGCCGCGUGGGUGAUGAAGGCCCUAGGGUUGUAAAGCCCUUUCGGCGGGAAGAUAAUGACGGUACCCGCAGAAGAAGCCCCGGCUAACUUCGUGCCA